AUGACGACCUACCGAAGCAAGCUACUCGGCCGCGCGCGUAUAGUAGUGCAGCGUGUCCGAUUUUGGCGUAAGGCCGCGGCGUUUUUAGUUGAUGUGAAGCCCCGCUCACCGGGAGGUCAUUGAACUGGAACUGAGUCAGAGGGAGAGGGAAUCCACGUUAGCGUGAAUGCUAGAAUGGGAGAACCCAGGGCGAAGGCGACUCUCUGGUCUGUAACUGACGCUGAGGAGGAAAGCGGGGGAGCGAACAGGAUUAGAUACCCUGGUAGUUCACGCCGUAAACGAUGAGUGCUAAGUUUAGGGGGUUUCCGCCCCUUAGUGCUGCAGCUAACGCAUUAAGCACUCCGCCUGGGGAGUACGGUCGCAAGACUGAAACUCAAAGGAAUUGACGGGGGCCCGCACAAGCGGUGGAGCAUGUGGUUUUUUCGAAGCAACGCGAAGAACCUUACCAGGUCUUGAAUCCUUUGCAACCCUAGAGUAGGGCUUUCCCUUCGGGGACAGAGUGACAGGUGGUGCAUGGUGUUGUCAGCUCGUGUCGUGAGAUGUUGGGUAAGUCCCGCAACGAGCGCAACCCUUGAUUUUAGUUGCCAGCAUUUAGUUGGGCACUUUAAGGUGACUGCCGGUGACAAACCGGAGGAAGGUGGGGAUGACGUCAAAUCAUCAUGCCCCUUAUGACCUGGGCUACACACGUGCUACAAUGGACAGAACAAAGGGCUGGGAGACCGCAAGGUUUAGCCAAUCCCAUAAAUUUGUUUUCAGUUUGGAUCGCAGUUUGCAACUUGACUGCGUGAAGCUGGAAUCGCUAGUAAUUGCGGAUCAGCAUGCCGCGGUGAAUACGUUCCCGGGCCUUGUACACACCGCCCGUCACACCAAGAGAGUUGCAACACCCGAAGUUG
rnacentral:rRNA from 1 species